rnacentral:rRNA from 1 species
UACGGGGGGGGGCAAGCGUUGUUCGGAAUUACUGGGCGUAAAGGGCGCGUAGGCGGCCUGCUAAGUCGGACGUGAAAUCCCCAGGCUUAACCUGGGAACUGCAUUUGUGACUGCAUAGCUAGAGUACGGCAGAGGGAUGGAAUUCCGCGUGUAGGCAGUGAAAUGCGUAGAUAUGACGGAGGAACACCGAUGGCGAAGGCAAUCCCUGGGCCUGGCUACUGAAGCUCCAUGCACGAAAGCGUGGGGAGC